CUACCUGAAUCCUCUCCUGAGAAAAGAGCCUGGCAACAAGAUGAAGCAAGCCAAGUCUGUGGGUGACCUCGCCCCACCUGAAUGGGACUGGAGGAGUAAGGGGGCUGUCACAAAAGUCAAAGACCAGGGCAUGUGUGGCUCCUGCUGGGCCUUCUCAGUCACAGGCAAUGUGGAGGGCCAGUGGUUUCUGAACCAGGGGACCCUGCUCUCCCUCUCUGAACAGGGUGAGCAUCUCGCUCUACUCCUCUGUCCCCAGCCUAGCCCCUCAGGAGGGCUUCUUGGGACCAGCCUUCUGUCUCCUAGAGCUCUUGGACUGUGACAAGAUGGACAAGGCCUGCAUGGGCGGCUUGCCCUCCAAUGCCUACUCGGCCAUAAAGAAUUUGGAGGAUGACUACAGCUACCAGGGUCACAUGCAGUCCUGCAACUUCUCAGCAGAGAAGGCCAAGGUCUACAUCAAUGACUCCGUGGUGCUGAGCCAGAACGAGCAGAGUGAGUGAGGGGCAGGGUGAGGUGAGGUCAGGUGGGGCCGGGGCCUGGGUGCCUACUGAUGCCACCCCUUCCCAUCUCAGAGCUGGCAG
rnacentral:sRNA from 1 species